rnacentral:rRNA from 1 species
GAUGAACGCUGGCGGCGUGCCUAAUACAUGCAAGUCGAGCGAACAGACGAGGAGCUUGCUCCUCUGACGUUAGCGGCGGACGGGUGAGUAACACGUGGAUAACCUACCUAUAAGACUGGGAUCACUUGGGGAAACCGGAGAUAAUCCCGGAUGAUAUCUUGAAGCGCAUGGUUCAAUGGUGAAAGACGGUGUUGCUGGCUCGUAUAGAUGGAUCCGCGCCGGAUUAGGUAGUUGGUAAGGUAACGGCUUACCAAGGCAACGAUGCGUAGCCGACCUGAGAGGGUGAUCGGCCACACUGGAACUGAGACACGGUCCAGACUCCUACGGGAGGCAGCAGUAGGGAAUCUUCCGCAAUGGGCGAAAGCUUGACGGAGCAACGCCGCGUGAGUGAUGAAGGUCUUCGGAUCGUAAAACUCUGUUAUUAGGGAAGAACAAAUGUGUAAGUAACUAUGCACGUCUUGACGGUACCUAAUCAGAAAGCCACGGCUAACUACGUG